AUUGGAUAAGUUUGGAGUGACAUGGGACAAAUCCAGGCAGGUGGGAAUGGUGUAGAUGGGACAUGAUGGGGCAAGUUGGGAAAGUUGGGCUGAAGGGCCUG